AACGAACGCUGGCGGCGCGCUUAACACAUGCAAGUCGAACGAGAAGGCGUAGCAAUGCGCUUGUAAAGUGGCGAACGGGUGAGGAAUACAUGGGUAACCUACCCUCGAGUGGGGGAUAACCCGCCGAAAGGCGGGCUAAUACCGCGUACGCUUCCGAUCUCGCGGGAUCGGAAGGAAAGCUGUUCCAAGGGGAUGGCGCUCAAGGAUGGGCUCAUGUCCUAUCAGCUUGUUGGUAGGGAACGGCCUACCAAGGCAUCGACGGGUAGCUGGUCUGAGAGGACGAUCAGCCACACUGGCACUGCGACACGGGCCAGACUCCUACGGGAGGCAGCAGUGAGGAAUAUUGCGCAAUGGGCGAAAGCCUGACGCAGCGACGCCGCGUGGGGGAUGAAGGUCUUCGGAUUGUAAACCCCUUUCGG
rnacentral:rRNA from 1 species